UACGUAGGCAGCAAGCGUUGUUCGGAGUUACUGGGCGUAAAGGGUGCGUAGGCGGCUCUAUAAGUAUGGUGUGAAAUCUCCCGGCUUAACUGGGAGGGUGCGCUAUAGACUGUGGGGCUAGAGUGCGGGAGAGGAAAGUGGAAUUCCUGGUGUAGCGGUGGAAUGCGCAGAUAUCAGGAGGAACACCGGUGGCGAAGGCGGGUCUCUGGGCCGAUACUGACACUGAGAAGCGAAAGCGUGGGGAGCGAACAGG
rnacentral:rRNA from 1 species